AGAGUUUGAUCCAGGCUCAGAAUCAACGCUGGCGGCGUGCCUAACACAUGCAAGUCGAACGCGAGAGGGGAGCAAUCCCUGAUCGAGUGGCAAACGGGUGAGUAACACGUGGGUGACCUACCUUCGAGUGGGGGAUAACGUCCCGAAAGGGACGCUAAUACCGCAUGACAUCCUGCUUUUGGACAAGCGGACAUUAAAGCUGGGGAUCGCAAGACCUGGCGCUUGAAGAGGGGCCCGCGUCUGAUUAGCUAGUUGGUGAGGUAACGGCUCACCAAGGCGACGAUCAGUAUCCGGCCUGAGAGGGCGGACGGACACACUGGGACUGAGACACGGCCCAGACUCCUACGGGAGGCAGCAGUGGGGAGUUGUUCGCAAUGGGCGCAAGCCUGACGACGCAACGCCGCGUGGAGGACGAAGAUCUUCGGGUCGUAAACUCCUGUCGAGCGGGAAGAACGCUUUCUGGGUGAAUAAUCCAGGAAAUUGACGGUACCGCUAAAGGAAGCCCCGGCUAACUCCGUGCCAGCAGCCGCGGUAAUACGGGGGGGGCAAGCGUUGUUCGGAAUUACUGGGCGUAAAGGGCUCGUAGGCGGCCAACUAAGUCGGAUGUGAAAUCCCCAGGCUCAACUUGGGAACUGCAUCCGAUACUGGAUGGCUUGAAUUCGGGAGAGGGAUGCAGAAUUCCAGGUGUAGCGGUGAAAUGCGUAGAUAUCUGGAGGAAUACCGGUGGCGAAGGCGGCAUCCUGGACCGAGAUUGACGCUGAGGAGCGAAAGCUAGGGGAGCAAACGGGAUUAGAUACCCCGGUAGUCCUAGCCCUAAACGAUGAAUGCUUGGUGUG
rnacentral:rRNA from 1 species